GGGCGAAUGGCGAAAUAGGCAGACGCACAAGACUUAAAAUCUUGAGAUUUAUAAAAAUCAUGAGGGUUCAAGUCCCUCUUCGCCCA
rnacentral:tRNA from 1 species